UUUAGUAUAUAUAUUUUUUUAGGUUAGCUAAAUACUUUUUAAUUUAAUAUUAAAUUAUUGAUGAAAAUUAAAAAUUAAAUUGAAAUGAUUUUCAAGUUUUAAAUAUAGUAGUCAAAAUGGCUAGAGAUUGAAAAAAAACAUCCAGUUCAUACAACUUAGUUAAAAAAAAUCAAGGCCAUUGAGUAAACUAUGCAAACGUAUGUUUAUAUUCGAAAGAAUACUUCGUAAGCACAAUUAAGUGGGAACAAAAACAAAAAAGGUAACAGGUAAAAUUAACUUAUAAUUAAUGAAUGAUAUUUUUUAACUGUUACGGGAUCAGUAAUUACAAUUGUGGGAUAAAUAAUAAACUCUAAAAAAUAAGACCAAGAAAGACACUACUACGUGCGAUUGUUUUAGCUAUGUCCAUUACGCUCAUUGACAUUGAGUUAUCUACCACCAAAAUACUAGAUAGUUCUUCCACAUUUAAUAAUUAGAUACAAUUUGGGUUCCAUUGUCGUAUUGAUCAGUAGUAUCAUUUCAGUGGAAGAUGAGAAAUUUUAUGGUCAGACAGAAAUAAAAAAACAUAUCAAUACUUUCUCAGUUUCGCGUCAAAAUUAAAACUUCAACAAUGUAAGUCAAGAGUCUGGUAAAAUAAUGUAUCUGUAAAUUAUAUGCAUUUAUAAAUUAUGUUAUAUUAAUCCGAACAUAUCAUCAGUCAGUACAGUUUUUUAUUAAUUGAUUUGAACAUUUAUUAAUUCAUAUUUCCCGAUGUUAUAUAUAUUUUUUUAUGGUAGUGGGGUUAAUUCCCUCUAAAACAAAAAAAAUUUUCUGCGUUACUAUAUAGUCAUUCAAUAAAGUUGCACAAUCUUGAGACCUUUGAAUGAAGUCCUAAGAAAGUUUAUAAAUAUACAUAACUCACAGUUUUAAGAUAUAUUAUUGAUCCAAUGAUCAAAAGAGGUAACAGUCUUCUUUGAUAAAUAUUAAUUAAAUUACAGGAUAAAUAUAGUAAUGCAAGGGUUUUGAUGUUUAUCAAUGAUUCAUACUUGAUGUAUAAAGCAUUUAUAAAAUG